ensembl:lncRNA
GCAUUAGCCUCCAUGCUACCUGGUAGCCAAAGUGAAAAGGGAAAAUUGGGUAGUCUGUAUGCACUCUUUAGGGCUUCCCAGGUGGCACAGUGGUAAAGAAUCCACCUGCCAAUGCAGCUGAUGCAGAAGACGUGGGUUUGAUCCCUGGGUCGGGAAGAUCCCCUGGAGAAGGGCAUGGCAACCGGCUCUAGUACUCUUGCCUGGAAAAUUUCACGGACAGAGGAGCCUGGUGGGCUACAGUCCAUGGGGUCACGAAAAGUUGGACACGACUGAGCAUGCACAUGCAUGCAAGGCCUCUUUCAGCACUCUGUGAGGUGUUGUAUUCCUCGGGGCUCUGAGGGGAGGGCCCAGGACUCCCAUUCCCAUAAUGAAUGGGAUGCCCCCACGCGACAGGGCUUAGAGAAGAUGCUCCCAAAACGGUGAAAGGGACCUGCUGCCUCCUAGGCCCUCUGGGUCUGUCUGUGUUGGCUGCUGGAGCUUGACUAGUCUUGAAGGGCGGUCAUCUGACUUGGAGGACUGACCUAAGGGAGGUUGGGCCCCCGGGCAGCCUGCAGGGCGAGUGCUGGCCCCCAGAGGCUCAGUCCCAGCUGGGGCAGGCUCACCAGGGGCCGCCCUCUGGCCUAUGUGGGCUGGCAGACGCCUCCUGCCCUCUUUAUCUCUGUCCAGAGCACGGGCUCCAGGGGUGGUGGAAUCCUGGCACGGCCACUACUGGUCAGCUGUGUGGCUUGUUGGGGAGCUUGUUAACCUCCCUGCUGGCUUGUGAGACUUAAACGGGGAGCACCCACAGAGGGAGGGGCGCGGCACGCAGUAACCAAUCAUCUCCCGAGGUUGCGGGGCGGUUCCGGGUGAUGCAGGAGAGCUCCGCCCAGCGCGAGUUGGGGACUCAGCCCUUCUGCGCCCUCCAGCAUUUGUCAGUUGCCUAUCGAGUCUUGGGCCUCCUCUAAGCCCUCUGUGCACAUAACUCACUCAGUCCUCAUUGGAGGCACUGCUAUUACCGUAUUUUACAGAUGAAGUGAUUUGCCCCGGGUCACAUAGCCUAGUUCCACAGCCCGUGUCUUAAUCGCCACUUCAGAGGAGCAGGAUCCAAUUAAAUGCGUUUCUGAACCCUGGGAGCGGGCUACUCAUGUUCCCCCACCUGGUGGAGGGAGGCGCCAGGGUCUUGGGGACCACAACCCACUCUUUGGGUCCUCCUCUGGCUCCAGACUCCUGGUCCCACCACUAGGGAGAGACUGUGAGCAUCCACCCCAUUCCCAGAAGAGGAGAACUGAGGCCGAGGAGAGGCUGUUCCACAGGCUGCCUGCAGGAGAGGACGACGGAGGACUCCCCGCUUCACCGGGAGUCGUGAGGAGUACGUGAAAUAACUCAUGGAAAGCACUCAGGGCCUGGUGCUGGCGACACCUCCGAGAGGAUUUCACACCCUCCUCUACAUGAGGAGCCCCCUAGCAAGGUCGUUAAUGAGUCUGCUAAGUGGGCACACCUCGCCUGACACCUUCCUGCUGGGAACCCCGCCCUCACGCCCCGCAUACCCUGUGCCACCACGGUCCUAUUGCGCCUGCCUCUGCAGCCUGUACUGGGGGGCUCCCGACUCCAGGAGUGGGGGCUGUAUGGGCUAUGGAGGAUCCGCAGAGGGGGGCCACCUCCCCAGGCAGCACGGCCAUCUAGGGCACAGCCCUGCGCUCGGCUAUCAAGUUUCACGUCAACCAUUCCCUGGGCAUCGCAGAAGCGGGCAGGGAUCGAGUGACUGAGUAACACAAGCUCUCUCCCAGGGGACGAGGUCUGCAGAGUCCCCCUGUACCACAGGAGCAUCGCUGGAGGUGGCAGGUGCUGCUUUCAUGGGCCCCGGGGCCUCGGCCCAGGCCCAGCCCCUCUGCCCUCCUCUCCUGUGCCCAGCGAGUGGAUGGCUGCGCUCUCUGAAGUGGGUUUCUCAGGCACCCCCAGAUG